UACGGAGGGUGCGAGCGUUAAUCGGAAUAACUGGGCGUAAAGGGUACGCAGGUGGGCAUUUAAGUGUGGUGUGAAAUCCCCGGGCUCAACCUGGGAAUAGCAGUGCAGACUGGAAGUCUAGAGUACUUUAGGGAGGGAUAGAAUUCCACGUGUAGCGGUGAAAUGCGUAGAGAUGUGGAGGAAUACCGAAGGCGAAGGCAGCCCCUUGGG
rnacentral:rRNA from 1 species